GACGGAGGGUGCAAGCGUUAUCCGGAUUCACUGGGUUUAAAGGGCGCGUAGGCGGCCCGCUAAGUCGAACGUGAAAUCCCCGAGCUCAACUCGGGAACUGCGUCCGAUACUGGCGGGCUUGAAUCCGGGAGAGGGGAUGCGGAAUUCCAGGUGUAGCGGUGAAAUGCGUAGAUAUCUGGAGGAACACCGGUGGCGAAGGCGGCAUCCUGGACCGGCAUUGACGCUGAGGCGCGAAAAGCUAGGGGAGCAAACGGG
rnacentral:rRNA from 1 species